UCUUAUGAAUGAGCAAAGAAAAUGGUUUCUUGAGAUCAAAUCUACUAGUGGUGAAGAUGCUGUGAA
rnacentral:pre_miRNA from 1 species